UGAAACGGUCCUCGAGUGCCUCUUAAGAUUC
rnacentral:piRNA from 1 species